GAUGAACGCUGGCGGCGUGCCUAAUACAUGCAAGUCGAGCGAACAGAUGAGGAGCUUGCUCCUCUGACGUUAGCGGCGGACGGGUGAGUAACACGUGGAUAACCUACCUAUAAGACUGGGAUAACUUCGGGAAACCGGAGCUAAUACCGGAUAAUAUAUUGAACCGCAUGGUUCAAUAGUGAAAGACGGUUUUGCUUUCACUUAUAGAUGGAUCCGCGCCGCAUUAGCUAGUUGGUAAGGUAACGGCUUACCAAGGCAACGAUGCGUAGCCGACCUGAGAGGGUGAUCGGCCACACUGGAACUGAGACACGGUCCAGACUCCUACGGGAGGCAGCAGUAGGGAAUCUUCCGCAAUGGGCGAAAGCCUGACGGAGCAACGCCGCGUGAGUGAUGAAGGUCUUCGGAUCGUAAAACUCUGUUAUUAGGGAAGAACAAAUGUGUAAGUAACUAUGCACGUAUUGACGGUACCUAAUCAGAAAGCCACGGCUAACUACGUG
rnacentral:rRNA from 1 species